rnacentral:rRNA from 1 species
UACAGAGGUCUCAAGCGUUGUUCGGAUUUAUUGGGCGUAAAGGGCGCGUAGGCGGCGGGGUAAGUCGGGUGUGAAAUCUCAGGGCUCAACCCUGAAACUGCACUUGAUACUGCUCUGCUUGAGGACUGGAGAGGAGACUGGAAUUCACGGUGUAGCAGUGAAAUGCGUAGAUAUCGUGAGGAAGACCAGUGGCGAAGGCGGGUCUCUGGACAGUUCCUGACGCUGAGGCGCGAAAGGCCAGGGGAGCAAACGGG